GAUGAACGCUGACAGAAUGCUUAACACAUGCAAGUCAACUUGAACUUCGGUUUGGGUGGCGGACGGGUGAGUCACGCGUAAAGAACUUGCCUCACAGAUAGGGACAACAUUUGGAAACGAAUGCUAAUACCUGAUAUUAUGAUUUUAGGGCAUCCUAGGAUUAUGAGAGCUAUAUGCGCUGUGAGAGAGCUUUGCGUCCCAUUAGCUAGUUGGAGAGGUAACGGCUCACCAAGGCGAUGAUGGGUAGCCGGCCUGAGAGGGUGAUCGGCCACAAGGGGACUGAGACACGGCCCUUACUCCUACGGGAGGCAGCAGUGGGGAAUAUUGGACAAGGGACCAAGAGUCUGAUCCAGCAAUUCUGUGUGCACGAUGAAGUUUUUCGGAAUGUAAAGUGCUUUCAGUUGGGAAGAAAAAAAUGACGGUACCAACAGAAGAAGUGACGGCUAAAUACGUG
rnacentral:rRNA from 1 species